CAAGCAGGAAGACAGAGCCUGUGCAGCCAGAGCAGGACUGCACGCUUCCUCUCCCAUGAGGCUUUGGGUGGCGUGGAGCCUCUGAGAGAGCCCGGUUCCUGCUCUGAAUGCCAACAUGAAGGUCUACAUAUUUUUCGUGUCAGCUCUACUCCCAGGCACCUUUGUUUUCCAGCCUGCCUGCGUGCCUCCCCUUAACAGCUGGACACAUCACCAUCCCAUUUUUCUAUUGGUUGUGACUGAAGUAGCUUGAGGUCAAUUAUUUCCCCAGCAAUUGACAAAGAGUCUUGACGAAGAGGAAAGUGACAUUGUCCCUUGAACAACACUGCCCCCUCCUCCUCCCCCUGCCCUCCUGGUUGAGAGGCGGGCAGACUCUUUUUGCUAGGAGCCCAGCGGGGCAGUGGCGGUGGAGUCUGUGGAAGUGCGUGGGUGACAUAUGGCAAGUGGAGAAAAUAUUUAUAUUCAUGGGGACAGAGCAGGAGAUCCAAAGAAGGUCAUACCACAGAGAUUUCAAGCAGGAGACAGACGCACAGACUCGAUACUCUGUCUUUGGUUGGACACGACAGAGAAUUUAAAGGAAGAGUUUCCUUGCUUUCGCUGUCAUCUUUGCACUUCUAAACAAUCUGAAUUGUGGACUGUUUGAAAAAGGGAAUAUCCUUUGUGCCUAAGCUCCAAGAAACGAUCACAGGGGGCCUUCCCGGGCCCGCUGCCACCGCCCUCCCCUUCUCUGCCUCUGCUCCCGAGACAAGAAUUCAAAGCCACUUUCUCUGGUUCUUGUGCCUUGGGCCGGGCUUUCCAGCCGGCGUUUUGCGCCACAGCUUCCGAAGAAAGCUAAAGCCCGGCUGUUGUCCAACGCCCGUGGGGCCCCGAGCAGACGCUCCUCGGCUCCCCGCGACCCUCAGACACGUGGACUGACGGACACACGUGCGCCUGUCUCCACGCCCGCCUUCCCGCUCGCGUUAAGCGCAGCGGACUUGGACUUGCGUGGAGAGUCAGGACCGCGAGGGGGUCAGUUCCCAGAUCGCUGUCACAAGGGAGGUGUGAACCCGGAGGACCACCCCCACCCCAGCACACCCCGCGAGCGGACACUUAACUCUGGUUUGCUUCCAGGCAUCUUACUCUCCACUCCUCCCCCAACCCCCCAUUUCCAGUUUCAGGCGGGGGAUGGGUAGUGAUGGUAAGAGGGGGUACAGGUGCGUCUGAGUCCUGGCUGGGGAGGGGUCCCCCCGGGGUCCCCUGGUGAAGCUGCCCGUAAACAGUGCGCCACGCUUAAUGGAUUCUUGCAGAUAAAAGAGCCU
rnacentral:lncRNA from 1 species